rnacentral:rRNA from 1 species
CAGCAGUGGGGAAUAUUGCACAAUGGGCGAAAGCCUGAUGCAGCAACGCCGCGUGCGGGAUGACGGCCUUCGGGUUGUAAACCGCUUUCAGCAGGGGCGAAGCUUUUGUGACGGUACCUGCAGAAGAAGCACCGGCUAACUACGUGCCAGCAGCCGCGGUGAUACGUAGGGUGCGAGCGUUGUCCGGAUUUAUUGGGCGUAAAGAGCUCGUAGGUGGUUGAUUGCGUCGGAAGUGAAAACUUGGGGCUUAACCCUGAGCGUGCUUUCGAUACGGGUUGACUUGAGGAAGGUAGGGGAGAAUGGAAUUCCUGGUGGAGCGGUGGAAUGCGCAGAUAUCAGGAGGAACACCAGUGGCGAAGGCGGUUCUCUGGACCUUUCCUGACGCUGAGGAGCGAAAGCGUGGGGAGCGAACAGGCUUAGAUACCCUGGUAGUCCACGCUGUAAACGGUGGGUACUAGGUGUGGGGUCCAUUCCACGGAUUCCGUGCCGUAGCUAACGCAUUAAGUACCCCGCCUGGGGAGUACGGCCGCAAGGCUAAAACUCAAAGGAAUUGACGGGGCCCCGCACAAGCGGCGGAGCAUGCGGAUUAAUUCGAUGCAACGCGAAGAACCUUACCUGGGUUUGACAUGGACUGGGAGUGCUCAGAGAUGGGUACGCCUCCUUGUGGGGCUGGUUCACAGGUGGUGCAUGGCUGUCGUCAGCUCGUGUCGUGAGAUGUUGGGUUAAGUCCCGCAACGAGCGCAACCCUCGUUCACUGUUGCCAGCACGUUAUGGUGGGGACUCAGUGGAGACCGCCGGGGUCAACUCGGAGGAAGGUGGGGAUGACGUCAAGUCAUCAUGCCCCUUAUGUCCAGGGCUUCACGCAUGCUACAAUGGCCGGUACAAAGAGUUGCGAGCCUGUGAGGGUGAGCGAAUCUCGGAAAGCCGGUCUCAGUUCGGAUUGGGGUCUGCAACUCGACCCUAUGAAGUCGGAGUCGCUAGUAAUCGCAGAUCAGCAACGCUGCGGUGAAUACGUUCCCGGGCCUUGUACACACCGCCCGUCAAGUCAUGAAAGUCGGUAACACCCGAAGCCGGUGGCCUAACCUGUGUGGGGGAGCCGUCGAAGGUGGGACUGGUAAUUAGGACUAAGUCGUAACAAGGUAGCCGUACCGGAAGGUGCGGCUG